rnacentral:lncRNA from 1 species
GAUACAUUGAAUAGGGGGGUUACCUCACAAACCUGUAUUUCCCCGCCUCUGGUUUCUUAGCAGGAUGGGAGAGUUGAGAGGACCUGCAGGGACUUCUUGAGCCCUGCCUAGGAUGCGGGCCUGAUUCCAGCCCUCGGGCUCCAGGAGCUGUUUCUCGUCUUCCAUGCCUUUCUGCCAUGCUGCCCUGCCUUGGAGCCAGACGACUAUGAACUUAAGCCUCUACAAACUCUUCCUGUCUCACAGUGGAAUCUCCUGUUCCUGCACACUAUUGCUAUUGUGAUGCCAUCCAUCCUGUGGGCCUUGCCAGGGCAAGCUGAAGACAGUGCCAUGACCUUGAAACUCCAGAUUGAAAAAAGAUGAUUCUCUAUAAUGCUUACACCAGGAGGAUAUUAUUCUACAAAUAAGGGCCCAGCAUGACAUUUAUGAGAAAGCCAGGGUCCUCCCCCACAAAGCUGAUUGGUGCUCUACCAAUAGACUCAAGAACACUGCCAAUAAAGGCACCUAUUGCUCUGGG